rnacentral:rRNA from 1 species
GGAGGACAUUGGGGAUCGCAAGACCUUGCGCUCAUUGAGCGGCCGAUGCCUGAUUAGCUAGUUGGUGAGGUAAAGGCUUACCAAGGCGACGAUCAGUAGCUGGUCUGAGAGGACGACCAGCCACACUGGGACUGAGACACGGCCCAGACUCCUACGGGAGGCAGCAGUGGGGAAUUUUGGACAAUGGGGGAAACCCUGAUCCAGCCAUGCCGCGUGAGUGAAGAAGGCCUUCGGGUUGUAAAGCUCUUUCAGCCGGAACGAAACGGUCACGGCUAAUACCUGUGACUACUGACGGUACCGGAAGAAGAAGCACCGGCUAACUACGUGCCAGCAGCCGCGGUAAUACGUAGGGUGCGAGCGUUAAUCGGAAUUACUGGGCGUAAAGCGUGCGCAGGCGGUUUUGUAAGUCAGAUGUGAAAUCCCCGGGCUUAACCUGGGAACUGCGUUUGAAACUACAAAGCUAGAAGGG